CAAAAGCCACCUCUCUAUCCGCUCCCCGUUUGGUGACGGUGAUAACUUUCCCCGCCAUACAAAAGAUUAAAAAUAUCAAAACAAACCAACCGACGACGUGUCAAAAAUUCAGGGAUAGGGAAAUUGUAAAACGCGUAACCAAACUCCGUGGGCUUGGACCUCGAAUCCGAGUAACCAAACAGCAGGGAAAUCGUAACCCUAGGCAAAGGGGCUCUCGAAACCCUAUAUAAUCAGGUUUCGGGGGUAGCCGUCCUUCGUGCUCUCUCGUUCUUUUCUACCUUUCUCCUAAAAUUAUAUUCUUUGUUUUUCUGUUCUGGUAGCCAUGGCCUCUGCGGAGAUCGAGUACCGUUGCUUCGUCGGAGGGCUUGCGUGGGCCACCGACAAUGAGGCGCUGGAGAGGGCCUUUUCUCAGUAUGGUGAGAUCAUCGAAUCGAAGGUCCGUUUGACGGAGAGAUCGGAUCUGACCCGAUUCGGCCUCGGCCAUCUGGCGUUCUGUUCUUCUCUCUGAUCUGAUUCUGUUUCUCUAUGUGUUACUUGAUCUAUGAUUCUCUGUUACUGUCUAUGAUUCUUAUUAUUACUCUCACAAGAUCGGGUACGUUCAUCUCAAUCUUUCUCUCCCAAAGAUUGAAGAUCGAUCGGUUCCUUUUUUUUGUUAUUGCCUUUUAAUUUUUGUUGUAAUUACUGCGUGGAUUUGUGGCUCUAAUGCGAUCCUGGUCUGUGUUUUCAGAUCAUCAACGACCGUGAGACUGGGAGGUCCAGGGGCUUCGGCUUCGUCACCUUCGGCAACGAGCAGGCUAUGAGGGAUGCAAUCGAAGCCAUGAACGGCCAGAACCUCGACGGCCGCAACAUCACCGUCAAUGAGGCUCAGUCUCGCGGAUCUGGAGGAGGCGGUGGCGGAGGAGGCUACAGCCGCGGAGGAGGCGGUGGUGGAUACGGAGGCAGUGGCGGGUACGGAGGCGGUGGUCGUCGUGAAGGCGGC
rnacentral:lncRNA from 1 species